AGAGUUUGAUCAUGGCUCAGAGUGAACGCUGGCGGCAGGCCUAACACAUGCAAGUCGAACGGCAGCACAGCAGUAGCAAUACUGUGGGUGGCGAGUGGCGGACGGGUGAGGAAUGCAUCGGAAUCUGCCUAUUUGUGGGGGAUAACGUAGGGAAACUUACGCUAAUACCGCAUACGUCCUACGGGAGAAAGUGGGGGACCUUCGGGCCUCACGCAGAUAGAUGAGCCGAUGCCGGAUUAGCUAGUUGGCGGGGUAAAGGCCCACCAAGGCGACGAUCCGUAGCUGGUCUGAGAGGAUGAUCAGCCACACUGGAACUGAGACACGGUCCAGACUCCUACGGGAGGCAGCAGUGGGGAAUAUUGGACAAUGGGCGCAAGCCUGAUCCAGCCAUGCCGCGUGUGUGAAGAAGGCCUUCGGGUUGUAAAGCACUUUUGUCCGGAAAGAAAAGCUUCGGGUUAAUAACCCGGGGUUAUGACGGUACUGGAAGAAUAAGCACCGGCUAACUUCGUGCCAGCAGCCGCGGUAAUACA
rnacentral:rRNA from 1 species